AACGUAGGAGACAAACGUUAUCCGGAGUUACUGGGCGUAAAGGGCGUGUAGGUGGUUUCGUAAGUCUGGCGUGAAAUAUCUCGGCUUAACCGAGGCAGGUCGUCGGAUACUGCGGGACUAGAGGACGGUAGAGGCGUGUGGAAUUCCGGGUGUAGUGGUGAAAUGCGUAGGGAUCCGGAGGAACACCAGUGGCGAAGGCGACACGCUGGGCCGUACCUGACACUGAUGCGCGACAGCAUGGGGAGCAACAGG
rnacentral:rRNA from 1 species